GAUCACUGUUUCAAAAGGUGAGGUGGAAGACAGCAGGGAUCACUGUUUCAAAAGGUAAGGUGGAAGACAGUAGGGAUCACUGUUUCAAAAGGUAAGGUGGAAGACAGUAGGGAUCACUGUUUCAAAAGGUAAGGUGGAAGACAGUAGGGAUCACUGUUUCAAAAGGUAAGGUGGAAGACAGUAGGGAUCACUGUUUCAAAAGGUAAGGUGGAAGACAGCAGGGAUCACUGUUUCAAAAGGUAAGGUGGAGGACAGUAGGG